GGGAUGUUAGUAAACUCAUUACAUAGCCUUGUCGAGACUAGAUCACAGGUUGAACCCCUGUACACCCCA
rnacentral:tRNA from 1 species